rnacentral:tRNA from 1 species
GGAGAGAUGACAGAGUGGUCGAAUGUGACGGUCUUGAAAACCGUUGUCUCAGCAAUGGGACCGUGGGUUCGAAUCCCACUCUCUCCG